rnacentral:rRNA from 1 species
AUUGAACGCUGGCGGCAGGCUUAACACAUGCAAGUCGAGCGGGGUGAUGGUGCUUGCACUAUCACUUAGCGGCGGACGGGUGAGUAAUGCUUAGGAAUCUGCCUAUUAGUGGGGGACAACAUCUCGCAAGGGAUGCUAAUACCGCAUACGUCCUACGGGAGAAAGCAGGGGAUCACUUGUGACCUUGCGCUAAUAGAUGAGCCUAAGUCGGAUUAGCUAGUUGGUGGGGUAAAGGCCUACCAAGGCGACGAUCUGUAGCGGGUCUGAGAGGAUGAUCCGCCACACUGGGACUGAGACACGGCCCAGACUCCUACGGGAGGCAGCAGUGGGGAAUAUUGGACAAUGGGGGGAACCCUGAUCCAGCCAUGCCGCGUGUGUGAAGAAGGCCUUAUGGUUGUAAAGCACUUUAAGCGAGGAGGAGGCUCUUUUGGUUAAUACCCAAGAUGAGUGGACGUUACUCGCAGAAUAAGCACCGGCUAACUCUGUGCCAGCCGCCGCGAUAA